rnacentral:tRNA from 1 species
UAUAUUGUACCACUGUAUCUAAUGGAUGUAAUUAUCCUGGGUUAGCUUUGUUAUUU